UCUUACUGCCCCUCCUUCCUCUCUCCUACUGCUUCUGUCCCUGGAGGCCAGUCUCCCCGUUGUAGGGAGAGAUCAUGUACCUGCAGCACUAACCAUACCUGCUGGGCGUGGUUACAGGGUCCCAGAGCUGUGACAGAACAAAUGUGAGUCACUGAAGGACAUCAUUAGCACAGAAAAUAAUCUCCAGAAUUGACAAGUGGGGUUAUAUGAGAUGGAAGAGUUCUACACAGCCAAUGAAACCACAAAGUAGAAAGAUCAUCUACAGAGUAGGAGAAAACCUCUGAAAACUACAUCUGACAGAGCAUUAGUAACCACAUCUAUAUUUUUUAAACUUCAAAAAUAAAAUACAAAAUAAUUGGUCCAAUCAACCGAUGAGCUAAUGAAUUGAAUUGUCAAGAGGAUAGCAAGUAUUUGAAAAGGUGUUCCACUUCCUUAGCAACAACAGAAAUGCUUUGAAAUGUCAAUCAGAAUGACUAGCAUUUAGAAAACCAACAAUGGUUUGGCAAGGAUGGGGAUUCCAUCUGCCUCCUCUUCUUUAAAGACCCCUGAGCCUUGGGGAGAGGACAUUGAUGAAGAACCCCAUUUAAAGCAUCAACUCUCACUCUAUACAUUAUCCACUUGGGGGCCUCUGCAUUAAUCACCAUCACCUGCAAGAAGCUUGUCCAGUGAUGAUUUGAUAAUGAACUGAUCUGUGGGUGUAGCAAUAUGUUUUUAUGAAUCAUUUCAUCUCUGUGUUUAUUUAGAAGAAUAAUUGCAGUAGUUUUCCCCUAGCACCCAUGACCUACAUAGUCUCAGGUUCCUUGACUCAUUAACAGUGUC